CCUACGGGUGGCAGCAGUGAGGAAUAUUGGUCAAUGGGCGCGAGCCUGAACCAGCCACGUAGCGUGAAGGAUGACUGCCCUCCGGGUUGUAAACUUCUUUUAUAAAGGAAUAAAGUGAGGCACGUGUGCCUUAUUGUAUGUACUUUAUGAAUAAGGAUCGGCUAACUCCGUGCCAGCAGCCGCGGUAAUACGGAGGCUCCGAGCGUUAUCCGGAUGUAUUGGGGUUAAAGGGAGCGUAGGUGGGUUGUUAAGUCAGUUGUGAAAGUUUACGGGUCAACCGUAAAAUUGCAAUUGAUACUGGCAGUCGUGAGUACAGUAGAGGUAGGCGGAAUUCGUGGUGUAGCGGUGAAAUGCUUAGAGAUCAAGAAGAACACCGAUUGCGAAGGCAGCUUACUAAACUGCCACUGACAUUGAUGCGCGAAAGUGUGGGUAUCAAACAGGAUUAGAUACCCGUGUAGUC
rnacentral:rRNA from 1 species